UUUUUUACACUGUAUUUCGAAUAUUCGGAGUGGCUGAAUUGUAUGUGAGAGGUAGAACAAUUCUAUUCUCUCUGUACUGGUAUUUCCUUGUUGUAAAAUAUAAGCUUGCCGAAUCUUAAAAACACGUUCCUGUGCUUCAUGUAAUGUUUAGUGUAUCCACGUUCACGAAAGUGUCCCGUCAUUUCUUCAAGUUGCGGCUGUCGUAUUUGAU